CCUACGGGAGGCAGCAGUGGGGAAUAUUGCACAAUGGGGGAAACCCUGAUGCAGCGACGCCGCGUGAGUGAAGAAGUAAUUCGUUAUGUAAAGCUCUAUCAGCAGGGAAGAAAAUGACGGUACCUGAGUAAGAAGCCCCGGCUAACUACGUGCCAGCAGCCGCGGUAAUACGUAGGGGGCAAGCGUUAUCCGGAUUUACUGGGUGUAAAGGGAGCGUAGACGGCAGUGCAAGUCUGGAGUGAAAGGCGGGGGCUCAACCCCCGGACUGCUCUGGAAACUGUACGGCUGGAGGGCAGGAGAGGUAAGUGGAAUUCCUAGUGGAGCGGUGAAAUGCGUAGAUAUUAGGAGGAACACCAGUGGCGAAGGCGGUUUACUGGACUGUAACUGACGUUGAGGCUCGAAAGCGUGGGGAGCAAACAGGAUUAGAUACCCCAGUAGUC
rnacentral:rRNA from 1 species